GAUGAACGCUGGCGGCGUGCCUAAUACAUGCAAGUCGAACGAGUUCUCGUUGAUGAUCGGUGCUUGCACCGAGAUUCAACAUGGAACGAGUGGCGGACGGGUGAGUAACACGUGGGUAACCUGCCCUUAAGUGGGGGAUAACAUUUGGAAACAGAUGCUAAUACCGCAUAGAUCCAAGAACCGCAUGGUUCUUGGCUGAAAGAUGGCGUAAGCUAUCGCUUUUGGAUGGACCCGCGGCGUAUUAGCUAGUUGGUGAGGUAAUGGCUCACCAAGGCGAUGAUACGUAGCCGAACUGAGAGGUUGAUCGGCCACAUUGGGACUGAGACACGGCCCAAACUCCUACGGGAGGCAGCAGUAGGGAAUCUUCCACAAUGGACGCAAGUCUGAUAGAGCAACGCCGCGUGAGUGAAGAAGGCUUUCGGGUCGUAAAACUCUGUUGUUGGAGAAGAAGGUCGGCAGAGUAACUG
rnacentral:rRNA from 2 species